rnacentral:tRNA from 1 species
GGAAGGAUGGCUUAAUGUUUAAGAGCACUGACUGCUCUUCCAGAGGACCUGGGUUCAAUUCCCAGUUCCCA